GUGAGGAAUUUUCCGCAAUGGGCGAAAGCCUGACGGAGCAAUGCCGCGUGAAGGAUGAAGGCCUAUGGGUUGUAAACUUCUUUUCUCAGAAAAGAAUUAUGACGGUAUCUGAGGAAUAAGCAUCGGCUAACUCUGUGCCAGCAGCCGCGGUAAGACAGAGGAUGCAAGCGUUAUCCGGAAUGAUUGGGCGUAAAGCGUCUGUAGGUUGUUUAAAAAGUAUUCUGUCAAAGAUUAGGGCUUAACCCUAGAUAGGAAGAAUAAACUUUUAAGCUAGAGUUUGGUAGAGGCAGAGGGAAUUCCCGGUGGAGCGGUGAAAUGCGUAGAUAUCGGGAGGAACACCAAAGGCGAAGGCACUCUGCUGGGCCAAUACUAACACUGAGAGACGAAAGCGAGGGGAGCAAAUGGGAUUAGAUACCCCUGUAGUCC
rnacentral:rRNA from 1 species